CUGGCUCAGGAUGAACGCUAGCUACAGGCUUAACACAUGCAAGUCGAGGGGCAGCAUGGAACUUAGCUUGCUAAGUUCUGAUGGCGACCGGCGCACGGGUGAGUAACACGUAUCCAACCUACCGUUUACUACGGGAUAGCCUUCUGAAAAGGAGAUUAAUACCGUAUGGCAUUCUAAGGUUUCAUGACAUUAGAAUUAAAGGUUUACCGGUAAUCGAUGGGGAUGCGUUCCAUUAGAUAGUAGGCGGGGUAACGGCCCACCUAGUCAACGAUGGAUAGGGGUUCUGAGAGGAAGGUCCCCCACAUUGGAACUGAGACACGGUCCAAACUCCUACGGGAGGCAGCAGUGAGGAAUAUUGGUCAAUGGACGAGAGUCUGAACCAGCCAAGUAGCGUGAAAAGGAUGACUGCCCUAUGGGUUGUAAACUUCUUUUAUAAAGGAAUAAAGUGGUCCACGUGUGGAUUUUUGUAUGUACUUUAUGAAUAAGGAUCGGCUAACUCCGUGCCAGCAGCUGC
rnacentral:rRNA from 1 species